UUGUCUCGCUUAUUAAAACUGUUUUAAUUUCAUAGAAAAGCAUGAAAAGCCUUUCAUCCAGAACACAUGUCCUGGUCAGCUGUUUCACGCACCUCAUUGCCAUAGAAACUCCUCCCCCUGUCUCUCUUCGGCCCCUGUCCCCGCGUCCCCGGCGCCUCGUUGUUGCUGAUUGUCUGUUGAGCCGCUGCAAGAAUUUCAUCGAGUUUAUCUGAGAGAACGUAAAGAAAUAAAGAGACAGACGGGAAAGAGGAAAGAGGAGAAGAAAGACACACGGCAAUGAAACAGAAAAAUGGACGGCAACAAAACGAGGAGAACGCUCGACGAGGGUGACCGGAAAGAUCCGGGAGAUAAACGGGAGCCUCCUUACUCAGAGCCAUCUGAUAGACCGUCCUCUUCUUCUCUGCAGCUUGUGAGGAUUCGAAUUCUAGAGGAAGGGGAAACGAGGGCCAGGACAAAGUGAGUCACCUCAGGAGGCAUAUGCACACCCACGCUCCCCACAGCCACAGCAUGCUGCACACGCAUGCAACCAAACACGCAUUCAACCUGCACGCAGUCUGAGGACGCUCCCACCUCUCUCCACUGUUAGCAUCCCAUCGGCGUGGUGGAAAGAAAAGAAAGAAGAUGCGGUUAGCCAGGAGGAGGAGUUAAAAAGUGAGCCCUUGCAUCCACCGGUGUCAGCGGUUCCUUACCCAUUUCCUCCAGCUCUGACGUCAUGGAUUUGGACCGCAGGGCGAUGGCCGGCGUGUUCAGCCUCUUACUCUGCUGUGGGACUGCAGGAGGGAAAACAGAGCAAAGCAGUCGGCCGGGACGUUCCCGAGCGGGACCGGAAGUCAAGGCGGGUUCUCACUUUUCUUCCUGGAACCCUCCUCCAUGUCUGGGUUGCGCGUUACCAUGACAACCUUCACCAUGAGGCUGUUGCCGCCCUGUCGGAUCAUGUUGACGACCUGCCGAUGACCCACCUUCACCACGUUCUGACCGUUCACCUGCAACACGAUCAAUCCUUGUCUCACUAUUGUUAUUUAUUCUUCUGAAAUAAAGCUUAAAGUCGUGAAUAUUUUAACCGUAAAUCAGGAGAGGGAGAUUUCUUUUUUUUUUUUUUUAAUUUGACAGUAGGAGCACAUCUGUGGCGUGUUUUAGUAAUCAAUAACAUGGAAUCUGGACAAAAACAUUUGGUUGAAAAUAAAUAUAUAUGUACUUUAAAACAGAACGUUUUGGAGUUUUUAUCAUAAUUACAUCAAUGGAAAAACAA
rnacentral:lncRNA from 1 species